rnacentral:rRNA from 1 species
UACGUAGGGGGCUAGCGUUGUCCGGAAUCAUUGGGCGUAAAGCGCGCGUAGGCGGCCCGGUAAGUCCGCUGUGAAAGUCAAAGGCUCAACCUUUGAAUGUCAGCGGAUACUGCCGGGCUAGAGUCCGGAAGAGGCGAGUGGAAUUCCUGGUGUAGCGGUGGAAUGCGCAGAUAUCAGGAGGAACACCGAUGGCGAAGGCAGCUCGCUGGGACGGUACUGACGCUGAGAAGCGAAAGCAUGGGGGAGCGAACAGG